CCUUCGUUCCGCUCCUCUAUAUUGAUGACUAUCGCUAAUGGUGAACAGAUUGACUUUUUUCAAUAUCUAUAAUACUGUCAAUACUUGUAAAAUGUAUAUUAGAACAAAAUUGAUCAGACUUAUUUUCUCCGAUUUUAAUUUUAAGUUCAUAAUAUUUCUUUUUUUUAUUUAACAUUGUUAUUUAUACAAUAUUUACACCUACUAAAUUAUUAAUUUUUCAUAAUUGGGUUCUUACUCGUAAAUAUAUAAAUAAAUGAUAGUAAUAAUAAUUGCAAUAAAGAUCAAUUUUUUAAAAUUCAAAAUUAAAUUAUAUCGAUUUUGGAAACACUAAAAUCAAAACUAGUAUUCAAAGUUAAAAUCAAAACCGAAUAAAAAAAAUUCAAGCCCUGAACAUAUUAAACAAAUAUUAUUAAAGAAAAUACCUAUACGAUUAUUUUACCAUAAUAUGGCAUAUACAUAUGAGUACUUAUGACAAAGCAAUGCAAUUAACCGAACUCUGCUAAGAAUCGUUUUUCCGUUAGCAAUGGAUUUUCGUUGUUUACAGAUANAAAGUUAAAAUCAAAAUCAAGGUUAAAUAAAACCGAUUUCUAAUAUUUAAAUUAAAAUCAAAAGAAUUCAAAACCAGUAAUCAAAAUGGAAAUCAAAACCGAAUAAAAAAAUUUCAAGCCCUGAACAUAUUAAACAAAUAUUAUUAAAGAAAAUACCUAUGCGAUUAUUUUACCAUAAUAUGGCAUAUACAUAUGAGUAUUGAUGACCAAGCAAUGCAAUUAACCGAACUCUGCUAAGAAUCGUUUUUCCGUUAGCAAUGGAUUUUCGUUGUUUACAGAUAUAUAUUAAAUUUCCCCUCAACUAAUCUUCCUAACUUCUCACCUACAGCAGUGGCUGAACCUGCGUGCGAAAUUGCCCCUUUUUUUAAGUUCAAAGAUAUAACAUACAAAAUAUAAAACUAUUAGUAAAUAAAAUCAGUAUCUCAUUCAUAUUACAAAUCAGUAAAGAACCCAAAAUAUAUUGAAAUAUUUUAACUGUUUGUUUACAAGCACGUGAAUAUUAUAGUUAAAAUAUCACAGUUAUAUCUCUUUAAUCCGAAACACACUAAGUGAAUGAAUCGAAC